GUGGGAUAAAAGUUUGCCGAUAACUGCGUAUGCACUUCAUCCAAUACUGUAGAAGGGUUAGUUCAAAAGCGAUAAUUCGACCAUCAAACCACGUAGCUACCGUUCUGGGGUUCAGUUCGACGGCUAGUGAGGUCAAGAGUGGUCAUAAAGGCGGCGCAGCGCGCGAGGAGCAGGAAGAAGAAAAAUGGCAACCUUUUCACAAUCGACCAUUGAUAAGGGAUCAGACAUUUACCAAGACUUCUUGUGCUCAACCUGCGAAGAGAAAAAACUGGAUGCAAUGGCUAAUUUCUACUGUGAAUCAUGCGUAAAGUUUAACUGCGGUAAAUGUAUUUGCAUAAACAGCCAAUUGUUCACAAAACAUGUCCCCUUUGGAAGGGGAGAUAUGAAGAAAUCGCCAGUGACGAAGAAGGUGCAGGAUUUUCUUCUAAAAUGUGACUACAAUAAAGAUAAAGAAUUAGAAUUGUUUUGUGACGAACACAGUGAGCUGUGCUGCACACAUUGCGCAUUUCUUAAUGACAGGUAAUGUUUACUUUAAUUAUAGAAACAAAUCACGAAUAAUAAGACACGCAUAUAGCGGUUUCAA